rnacentral:tRNA from 1 species
GAGGGUAUAGCUCAGUGGUAGAGUGUGGUGUUUAGCAUGCAUGAGGUCCUGGGUUCAAUCCCCAGUCCCUCCA